AGGGCGUACAGUGUGAACCAACUCACCCAUUCCAAGUGGGAGAUAUCGUGCUGAUAAAGAAAUUAAAGAAAGGAAAAUUUGCAGGAGACUUCACCUAUGGACCACCGACUGCAGUGGUAGCCGCGACCCGCACAGCAGUACUCACGGAAGAAGCACCUACUUGGAUCCAC